AACGGAGAGACUAACAAGGAUUCCCCUAGUAACUGCGAGUGAAGCGGGAAAAGCUCAAAUUUAAAAUCUGGUGGUCUUUGGCCAUCCGAGUUGUAAUUUAGAGAAGCGUCUUCCGCGCUGGACCGUGCACAAGUCUCCUGGAAUGGAGCGUCGUAGAGGGUGAGAAUCCCGUCUUUGGCACGGACGCACCAGGGCUUCUGUGAUGCGCUCUCGAAGAGUCGAGUUGUUUGGGAAUGCAGCUCAAAAUGGGUGGUGAACUCCAUCUAAAGCUAAAUAUUGGCGAGAGACCGAUAGCGAACAAGUACCGUGAGGGAAAGAUGAAAAGCACUUUGGAAAGAGAGUGAAACAGUACGUGAAAUUGUUGAAAGGGAAACGCUUGAAGUCAGUCGCGUCGCCCGAGACUCAGCCUCGCCUCGGCUUGGUGUACUUCUCGGCCGACGGGUCAGCAUCAAUUUCGCCCCUUGGAUAAUGGCGAGGGAAAUGUGGCACCUUCACGGGUGUGUUAUAGUCUCUCGUCGCAUGCAAGGGUCGGGAUUGAGGAACUCAGCACGCGCCUUUCGGCGUCGGGGUUCGCCCACGAUACGUGCUUAGGAUGUUGGCGUAAUGGCUUUAAACGACCCGUCUUGAAACACGGACCAAGGAGUCUAACAUGCCCGCGAGUGUUCGGGUGGAAAACCCGUGCGCGCAAUGAAAGUGAAAGUUGGGACCUCUGUCGUGGAGGGCACCAACGCCCGGACCAGACCUUCUGUGACGGAUCUGCGGUAGAGCGUGUAUGUUAGGACCCGAAAGAUGGUGAACUAUGCCUGAAUAGGGUGAAGCCAGAGGAAACUCUGGUGGAGGCUCGUAGCGAUUCUGACGUGCAAAUCGAUCGUCAAAUUUGGGUAUAGGGGCGAAAGACUAAUCGAACCAUCUAGUAGCUGGUUCCUGCGAUUUUCCU
rnacentral:rRNA from 1 species